UACGUAGGGGGCAAGCGUUGUCCGGAAUCAUUGGGCGUAAAGAGCGUGUAGGCGGCCCGGUAAGUCCGCUGUGAAAGUCCAGGGCUCAACCCUGGGAUGCCGGUGGAUACUGUCGGGCUCGAGUCCGGAAGAGGAGUGUGGAAUUCCUGGUGUAGCGGUGAAAUGCGCAGAUAUCAGGAGGAACACCAAUGGCGAAAGCGGCUCUCUGGGACGGUACUGACGCUGAGACGCGAAAGCGUGGGGAGCAAACAGG
rnacentral:rRNA from 1 species